rnacentral:rRNA from 1 species
UACGAAGGGGGCUAGCGUUGCUCGGAAUCACUGGGCGUAAAGCGCACGUAGGCGGCUUUCUAAGUCAGGGGUGAAAUCCUGGAGCUCAACUCCAGAACUGCCUUUGAUACUGGGAAGCUCGAGUCCGGAAGAGGUGAGUGGAACUCCGAGUGUAGAGGUGAAAUUCGUAGAUAUUCGGAAGAACACCGGUGGCGAAGGCGGCGAGCUGGUCCGUUACUGACGCUGAGGCGCGACAGCGUGGGGAGCAAACAGG